GUGACCUCAAAUCAGGUAGGACUACCCGCUGAACUUAAGCAUAUCAAUAAGCGGAGGAAAAGAAACUAACAAGGAUUCCCCUAGUAACUGCGAGUGAAGCGGGAAAAGCUCAAAUUUAAAAUCUGGCAGUCUUUGGCUGUCCGAGUUGUAAUCUAGAGAAGUGCUAUCCGCGCUGGACCGUGUACAAGUCUCCUGGAAUGGAGCGUCAUAGAGGGUGAGAAUCCCGUCUUUGACACGGACUGCCAGGGCUUUGUGAUACGCUCUCAAAGAGUCGGGUUGUUUGGGAAUGCAGCUCAAAAUGGGUGGUAAAUUCCAUCUAAAGCUAAAUAUUGGCGAGAGACCGAUAGCGAACAAGUACCGUGAGGGAAAGAUGAAAAGAACUUUGGAAAGAGAGUUAAACAGUACGUGAAAUUGCUGAAAGGGAAACGCUUGAAGUCAGUCGCGUUGUCCAGGGAUCAACCUUGCUUUUGCUUGGUGCACUUUCUGGUUGACGGGUCAGCAUCAAUUUUGACUAUUGGAAAAAGAUCAGGGGAAUGUGACAUCUUUGGAUGGGUUAUAGCCUUUGGUUGCAUACAAUGGUUGGGAUUGAGGAACUCAGCACGCCGCAAGGCCGGGUUUUAAACCACGUACGUGCUAGGAUGCUGCAUA
rnacentral:rRNA from 1 species